CUGGGGGGUGCUAUACAUGCAAGUCGAACGAACUCUGGUAUUGAUUGGUGCUUGCAUCAUGAUUUACAUUUGAGUGAGUGGCGAACUGGUGAGUAACACGUGGGAAACCUGCCCAGAAGCGGGGGAUAACACCUGGAAACAGAUGCUAAUACCGCAUAACAACUUGGACCGCAUGGUCCGAGCUUGAAAGAUGGCUUCGGCUAUCACUUUUGGAUGGUCCCGCGGCGUAUUAGCUAGAUGGUGGGGUAACGGCUCACCAUGGCAAUGAUACGUAGCCGACCUGAGAGGGUAAUCGGCCACAUUGGGACUGAGACACGGCCCAAACUCCUACGGGAGGCAGCAGUAGGGAAUCUUCCACAAUGGACGAAAGUCUGAUGGAGCAACGCCGCGUGAGUGAAGAAGGGUUUCGGCUCGUAAAACUCUGUUGUUAAAGAAGAACAUAUCUGAGAGUAACUGUUCAGGUAUUGACGGUAUUUAACCAGAAAGCCACGGCUAACUACGUGCCAGCAGCCGCGGUAAUACGUAGGUGGCAAGCGUUGUCCGGAUUUAUUGGGCGUAAAGCGAGCGCAGGCGGUUUUUUAAGUCUGAUGUGAAAGCCUUCGGCUCAACCGAAGAAGUGCAUCGGAAACUGGGAAACUUGAGUGCAGAAGAGGACAGUGGAACUCCAUGUGUAGCGGUGAAAUGCGUAGAUAUAUGGAAGAACACCAGUGGCGAAGGCGGCUGUCUGGUCUGUAACUGACGCUGAGGCUCGAAAGUAUGGGUAGCAAACAGGAUUAGAUACCCUGGUAGUCCAUACCGUAAACGAUGAAUGCUAAGUGUUGGAGGGUUUCCGCCCUUCAGUGCUGCAGCUAACGCAUUAAGCAUUCCGCCUGGGGAGUACGGCCGCAAGGCUGAAACUCAAAGGAAUUGACGGGGGCCCGCACAAGCGGUGGAGCAUGUGGUUUAAUUCGAAGCUACGCGAAGAACCUUACCAGGUCUUGACAUACUAUGCAAAUCUAAGAGAUUAGACGUUCCCUUCGGGGACAUGGAUACAGGUGGUGCAUGGUUGUCGUCAGCUCGUGUCGUGAGAUGUUGGGUUAAGUCCCGCAACGAGCGCAACCCUUAUUAUCAGUUGCCAGCAUUAAGUUGGGCACUCUGGUGAGACUGCCGGUGACAAACCGGAGGAAGGUGGGGAUGACGUCAAAUCAUCAUGCCCCUUAUGACCUGGGCUACACACGUGCUACAAUGGAUGGUACAACGAGUUGCGAACUCGCGAGAGUAAGCUAAUCUCUUAAAGCCAUUCUCAGUUCGGAUUGUAGGCUGCAACUCGCCUACAUGAAGUCGGAAUCGCUAGUAAUCGCGGAUCAGCAUGCCGCGGUGAAUACGUUCCCGGGCCUUGUACACACCGCCCGUCACACCAUGAGAGUUUGUAACACCCAAAGUCGGUGGGGUAACCUUUUAGGAACCAGCCGCCUAAGGUGAACAAGGGU
rnacentral:rRNA from 1 species